GUUGUAGCUCAGUGGUAUAGCAUCUGUUCUGCAUGCAGAAGAUUUCUGGUCCUAUCCCAGGCAUCUUCA